rnacentral:sRNA from 1 species
UUCCAGGGCUGCCAUGUUCUCUCUUCCAUCCCUCCCCUCCUGGCUCCCCGGCCUCCCCUCCCUCGAGUGGGGCUCUAGCCUCCUCGACUCCCUCCUGCAAGUGACCCGCAGCGGCGACCCGAAAAGGAGCGGCUUCGGGCCCAGUGGGCCUCCCUGGAAACGGUGCACCUGGCAGGGCUGGCCCUGUUUCUGACGGUCGUGGGGUCCCGGGUGGCUGCCCUCGUGGUGCUCGAGUUCUCCCUCCGGGCCGUGUCCACGCUGCUGUCCCUGGGCAAGGGCUCCCAGGGUGCCACCGAGAGGCUGCAGCUCUACCUGCUGUGCCAGUACUCGCUGGGCUGCGGGCUGACCUGUGGCCUGAGCUUCCUGCAGGAGGGCGCCCCUCACCGCACGCUGAACCUGCUGCUGAGCCUCGGGCUGGCCACGCUGCUGGGCCUGGGUGCCCGGCGCCUCCACCGCCACGUCUGCCGCCUCUACGAGCUGCACAGCAGCCAGCGCUACUGUGGGGUGUGCCUGGGCCUGCUGGCCCAUGCACACAGCCUCCCCCAGCUGCUGGGCCGUGCCCUGGCCAUAGCCUUUGCUGUGGGUGACCUGGCAGCUGUGGCCCUCAUCAACCAGGACUUCCUGACCACCUCGGAGGCCAUGCGGUUCUGGACACCGCUCACCAUCUGCUACACGCUGCUGGUCAUCUACAUGCAGG